CCAGGCUGCUGACGCAUAGAUUUAUAGCCAAAUGUCAAGUGCUCCGAGGCUUGGCCCAGGUCUACUGACCCUGGGAAACUUCUGGAAAAGAAUUCAUGGCUGAAAUUCAUCCAUGAUCUCUGGAAAUGGUUCAUUUUGGAAAAAAUCAUCAAAAAUCUGGGAACAGGAGCAUGAAAUACCCAAGAGGAACACCACCGACCAGUUGUACUGUGGUUGUGUUACGCUUAGCCCAGUGGGACCCAUGACUGGAGCCCCUAGGUGGAACCACAAUGAACAAAAUGAAAGGGAACCAGGCAUUUGACUUCAGCUGAUGCUGUUCCAUCCAGCCCGCAUCUGUCUCCACAUCUGAGGCAAGCCUGUCUGACUGGAACGGGCCUUGGUUCCCCAAGCGACUGCAUCCAAAGUACCAGCAGCCACUACCUGCGUCCUCUGUGGUGUGUUAAUCGAUAGCCCAAGUGUGAACUGAUUGAUUCCUAACGACAGCCCUGUCAGCAUCCCAGCCAGCUUCCACCGAGGGAGCCGGCUUAUUUCAAACCAACCCACACUUGCACUUCCGCCCAGUAGCUGUUGCUAAUGGCAGUGCCUGGCCUGAGCCGCUGGGCUUGAUGGAUUGAUUUGGUAUUUAUUGCUGGGCGCACGCUGCACCCGGUUCGGCUUUCCCCUGCCCACUUUCACCCUCUGCUGAAUCCACCUUUCAUUGCGCUGACAUCCAGAUGCGAAUUUGCUCUGCCCGUGACCUUGCUCUUCCCCCUCCUGAUUUGAAAUUAGCUUACUAAAACAUGUUUUCUUUUAAGACUCCACAGCCUAAUCCAGAACAAACAAAACACAUUUUUUUGCAAACCAACUGCAUGAACUUCUGCCCUGGCCUUGACCGCACAUAUGCGCACACUUCCCCACCCGCUCCCCAACCCUCCCUCCCUCCCUGCCCAUCACCAUCCAAGUGAGCUUUCCAAGGCAUUUUUUUUCCCUGACGAAUACAGUUGCAACGACUCAGAAACUGAAAUUUUUUGGCAGCGGCCAGAGAGCUAACUUUAUUUACUUUCCUUCUGCGUGCAUGGAGCGGGGGUUGGGAUCAGAGACGCGCAGGAAAGGGGCGGAUUUGCACUCCUCUGCUUUAUUCCAAAGGCUGCACUGCAUGCAGGACACCACCAAAGGUGGCAUAUCGUGUGUGUGUGGUGGGGAGCUCUUCAUUCUUAUUCACGUUAGGUCUUAAGUGGUUUGGGGCGUCAAGCACUGGAUUGAGACUCAGGUGAAGUCGGUUGGAUAAUAUCCGAUAUUUUAGCAAGAAUUUGUCUUUAGUUGAAUUUUUUUUAAUUUCCCCUGAUUUUUACUCCUUUUUUUAAUGGAAAAAAGCAAAGUCAAAACUCCAAAAUGUUCAGUAUUUGAAAACAAAUUUUGGUGCAAUUUUUUUGGUUUGUUUUCAAUCAAAAUUUGGUUUUUGUUUUUUUUUUUUUGAAACCCAAAACUUGAAAAAUGGUACUGAAAAACUGAACCGAAUCCCACUGGUUUUUUUAAACCCAAACUCUGGUUUUCUACUGAAGAAAAACGGAACCUUUUCAGUAAAAGUGGAAUUUUUUCAUUGUAGUCACAAAGGUGCGCAUAUGUGUGUGUAUAUAUAAUCAAAAAAUGUUUUAACAAAUAAAAACAAAAACUCUAGGCUCAGGACACCUGAGUUCAGUCUUGGCUUUGCCAAAGAACUGCUCAAAUAACAUAUUUUUUUUAAAAAUCAAGGUUGGAUUUUUUUAAAAAAAGAUAUGCUCUAGUUCAAACAGGAAUUAAUUCCAGGAAGUCCUAGGGCUGGUGUUGUAUUAAUUAAGUGGACUAUAUGAUUCCAAAGAAUCAAAGACCUGUCACUGUCCAACAUUAAACUGCUUUAAACAUGGGUCAAGGUUCGGUAUAC